rnacentral:lncRNA from 1 species
AGGGACCCCAAGAUGCUCUGAGGGCCAAGAGCCACAGUGGGAAUCAACCCAGGGACCUCUGACCCUGCUCCCUCCAGGGAAGCCAGACAAUCUACACAGAAAAAGACACUGCAAUUCUAUUAAAAAAAAAAAUCUUAGUAUGUUACACAAUCCAAUAUCAGACAGGCUGCUUUAAGAGACCGCACUACCAGAAAUAAGAAAAUCAUAGGUCAGAAGGCUACUGGACAGGAGCUGUGGAGGAAUUUAAGCACUGAAUGGAUAAACAGAGUCAGAUCUUAUGUUACGCAUCCAGCCACACUGAACACAGUCUGAGGUCAGACAUUUGAAAAUAUCAGCUUCCAGAAUCUCACACGUUCAAAUUCCGGUAUUUUGAAAAGUCUCGUGUGGCCCAGGACUCUGGCCACUGGAAGUGAGACACUAGGAUCUCAAAAGGUGGUAACUGAGGGGGAGAAGCCCUCAUCGAGGACGCAGGGUGACUGCCGAGCCCGAGGUGUGAUCUGGCCCGUGGGGCACAGGGACACUAACAGUGGCUCCUCAGGGAACCUUCGUCCUUGGAGGUGCGGGGACGUGAGGUCGGCUGCAUGCUGCUCUCCCCUCCCCCAUGAUGCUGCGGGAACAGGGUGGGGGGCGGGAGACUCAUGGGCUGAGUCUGAGCCCCAGUCUGGGACUUGCGACGCCUCUCCUGUGGGGCGAGGCCACUCUUGCCACGACCUCCCAGGGUGGGUCUCGAGUCCAGGUGAGGAGAUGCAGAUGGGUGGGGGGAACCCAGGCAGGGCUGGGUGGCUCAUUCUGGGGCUUUGCGGCCCACCAGCAGGUGACUUGGGGUCAGGUGGGUUCCCUGUGCAUUAGAGGAGCUUCUUAGACAGCGGCGGCGGCGGCGGGACCUUGACCGUGACUGUGGACAGCAGGUAGCCCAGUGCUGGCUCCCAGUGUAGCCACAUGCAAAUCCCCCUCCCUGAGGCGCCGGCACCGAGGGAAAAGACGUGAACUGCCUUCAUGUCCUGGUGUGGGUGGCCAAGGGUGGCUGCAAGGUGCCCGGUGGAGGGGGGGGCUUCACCAUCACCUCACUGCAUUUAUGUUUUACUCACUUUGAGGCACACGGGGGUUAGUAAGUUGCUUAAGACCAGUCCCAGCUAAAGCCACCAGUCCUGUCUGCUCAAGGUUCUAAAUAAGGGCUCAGUCACAUCUGCUGCACGUGACUCAUGCCACAGAGAAGCUCUUAAAACGCUAUUUACCUGGUCUGGGGCUUCCACCCAGCCCUGCACAGAUGCGCGGGCUGAUCCAUCUUGGAGACGAAUGGUGAGCGCUUGGUGGCACAUGGCAGCCGACCCGGGGUUCCGACGUCUCCCUCCUUUACGGCGGCACAAGCCUCAGCACCCCACGGCCGGGCUGGAGCACGGCUUUGCAGGGUUAGGGUGGGAGCUGAGCUGCACUCUUUCUUAUUGCAAGGGGGCAGGGUGGAGGCGGCGUUGUAGACAGGGGUUAGUCACCCCGAGACUUGACCUCUCUGUAGGAGGUGGAGCUGGGACCAGGGUCGGGAACUUGUGUGUCCCCAGGCGCCCUCUCCAGCUCCCUGGAGGCCUCCACUUUCCCUCACGUCCUUCUGUGCCUUUUGCCACUUUUCGCCAGCGUCCCCACCCCCACAUCCAGCCAUGAACUUCGAAGGGUGACUUUGUCCCCUCAGGACGGUGCCAACGAGCGCGCAGGUAAACCAUGACACAAUGCUCUCCCACAGGUGGCAGCAGGCUCUGCCCACUUGGCUGGUGACAGGAUCCCUAGAAGGUAGAUGUUUCCGAGCAAAUACACACGCCCGGCCAUCGGCCAUUGGGAGGGAGGUGAGGUCUGACAUGGGCCGACCCCGAUUUCUCCCGACCCGCAGAAGUUCUUGCUUUGCCCCCAGACAGGGCCCCAGCUGCUUCCCUCAGGGUCCGGACUCUGCAGGAGUCGGACCUCAGAGGCAAACUGAAGGCCAAGCGGAUGGGCCCCCAGGAGCCCGUGAUAGACAGCAGGCCAGCCCCAUAAAUGAGACACCCCCGCGGCCAGGAGCACGUCGCCAAAUGCGCGCAGUGGGGCCACAGCCCUGCGUGGGGAUGAUGAACUCCGACAGCUGGUGCCUCCGAGGGCUGACCAUAUGCAGAGGCUGGGCCCAGCACUUGUUACAUCAUCCGCCUUAAGCGGGCCUGGGAAGUCAAGGCUGGUCCAUAGUUCCCAUGUCACAAACAGUCACAAAAGCUUGGAGACAACCUCAAGGGCAGGCCAAGCCGUCACAGAAGUCAGAGCAUCGGGUCCGCUCACGACAGAGGCAGGUCCCUGGGACAUGGAUUCCUUGUAAUGUCAACCAGCCCUUAAUUGAAGAGCCGGGAGUGACCGAACAAGUUCUAUCACAUACCAUCCCGCAGCGCCCCGGGCUCUGGGAGACAAGCAUCUCCUGCUGCCAAUGGGGGCAGGAAGAGGAAGAGAGAGCCUCUGAACCUAUGUCCUAGCCCGCCGUGCCGAACACCGAGGUCCCCAGGGUGGCCCCUCCAGGCCUUAAGUCAGCUCUGACUCAGCUGGCACACUGCUGGGCAGCCUCUGUACCUGUGUCUGUGCCUGAGUCUGGGUGGGCUCCCUGGACACAAACUCCCUGCCCCAGUGGGUCAAUCUUAGCCUCGGACCUAGGCUGGGCCCACGGCUGGACUCAGGCAUUUUUUGGAAAUGGAAGUUUGAGCUGAUGGGUCUGAUCCCCCCAGAAGCUAGCUGCAAAGGCCAAGAAAUUCCCUUGGCAGCAUGGCACCAGAGGAAAGACUCAGGCUUUGGAGAGCUGGGUUCUAACCCCAUUCUUGCCACUUCCUAGAGUGGGACAUGGGGAAAGUUCAUGAAAGACUCUGAACGUGGAAGGGGAGCCAUGAUGCCAUGGGGGUGGUUUUAAUAUAUCUGCUGGAGUUCCCUAGUGGCUCAGUGGGUUGAGGAUGUGGCAUUAUCAUUGCAGUGGCUUGGGUCACUGCUGUGGCACGGGUUCAAUAUCUGGCCCUGGGAAAUUUCACAUGUCAUGGGUGCA